AGAGAUUUUACCUGGGUUCCUUGCAUACACUGGAGUCUCCAGGUUUUUCACCUUGUCUGCUCCUAUCCAGGAUCAGAACCAAAAGGACUCAUGGCAGAUGUAAAGGAAGGCAUAUCUUAGAGUUGUCACUCUAAGGAAUAAUCAUGCAAGAAAGCCCCUCAGCCUUCAUCAAACUCUGGAGGAUUAUAGAGGGAGUAACCACAGAGAAACAGCAUAAAGCAUAAAUGCCAAAGGAUUCAAAUUGUUAAUCACAAGAUUGUGGAGCCAGACAUUGAUGUUUCUUUGUCCUGAAG
rnacentral:lncRNA from 1 species